GAUGAAGAACGUAGCGAAAUGCGAUUCUUGGUGUGAAUUGCAGAAUCCCGUGAACCAUCGAGUCUUUGAACGCAAGUUGCGCCCGAAGCCAUCAGGUUGAGGGCACGUCUGCCUGGGCGUCACAUAUCGUUGCCCAAUGCCUAUUGCAGUGCAAUAGGAAUUUCUAGGGCGAAUGAUGGCUUCCCGUGAGCGUUGUUGCCUCGCGGUUGGUUGAAAAUCGAGUCCUUGGUAGGGUGUGCCAUGGUAGAUGGUGGUCGAGUUAGAACGAUACCGAUCAUGUGCAUGCUCCCCAAAAUAUGGCCUCUAUGACCCACACGCGUCUUUUGACGCUCAUGACGAGACCUCAGGUCAGGCGGGGCUACCCGCUGAAUUUAAGCAUAUCAAUAAGCGGAGGA
rnacentral:misc_RNA from 1 species